GACGAACGCUGGCGGCGUGCCUAAUACAUGCAAGUCGAGCGAACCACUUCGGUGAUGAGCGGCGAACGGGUGAGUAACACGUAGGUGAUCUGCCCAUCAGACGGGGACAACGAUUGGAGACGAUCGCUAAUACCGGAUAGGACGAAAGUUUAAAGGUGCUUCUGGCACCGCUGAUGGAUGAGCCUGCGGCGCAUUAGCUAGUUGGUAGGGUAAAGGCCUACCAAGGCGACGAUGCGUAGCCGACCUGAGAGGGUGAACGGCCACACUGGGACUGAGACACGGCCCAGACUCCUACGGGAGGCAGCAGUAGGGAAUCUUCCGCAAUGGACGCAAGUCUGACGGAGCAACGCCGCGUGAGUGAUGAAGGGUUUCGGCUCGUAAAACUCUGUUGUUAAGGAAGAACACUUGAGGUAGUAACUGGCCUUGAGAUGACGGUACUUAACCAGAAAGCCACGGCUAACUACGUGCCAGCAGCCGCAGUAA
rnacentral:rRNA from 1 species